rnacentral:rRNA from 1 species
GACGAACCGUGCGAACGUUGUUCGGAAUCACUGGGCUUAAAGGGUGCGUAGGCGGGCUCGUCAGUCGGGGGUGAAAUCCCACGGCCCCAACCGUGGAAGUGCCUCCGAUACUGCGGACCUAGAGGGGGAUAGGGGCGUGCGGAACUUCCGGUGGAGCGGUGAAAUGCGUAGAUAUCGGAAGGAACACCCGGUGGCGAAAG